CGGUAAGGAAGCGGGAGUGACUUAGCGGCGGACGGGUGAGUAACGCGUGGGGUAACCUGCCCCGUACCGGGGGAUAACGGUUAGAAAUGACCGCUAAUACCGCUUAAGCGCGCGAGGCCGCAUGGCCGCGCGCGAAAAACUCCGGUGGUAUGGGAUGGGCCCGCGUCUGAUUAGCUAGUUGGUGGGGUAACGGCCCACCAAGGCGACGAUCAGUAGCCGACCUGAGAGGGUGGCCGGCCACAUUGGGACUGAGACACGGCCCAAACUCCUACGGAAGGCAGCAG
rnacentral:rRNA from 1 species